GAGGAAAGUCCGGGCUCCAUAGGGCAAGGUGCCAGGUAACGCCUGGGGGGUGUCACAGCCCACGACCAGUGCAACAGAGAGCAAACCGCCGAUGGCCCGCGCAAGCGGGAUCAGGUAAGGGUGAAAGGGUGCGGUAAGAGCGCACCGCGCGGCUGGUAACAGUCCGUGGCACGGUAAACUCCACCCGGAGCAAGGCCAAAUAGGGGUUCAUAAGGUACGGCCCGUACUGAACCCGGGUAGGCUGCUUGAGCCAGUGAGCGAUUGCUGGCCUAGAUGAAUGACUGUCCACGACAGAACCCGGCUUA
rnacentral:RNase_P_RNA from 1 species